rnacentral:guide_RNA from 1 species
UAAACGAGAAUAUAAACUGAUGUAGAGAUAUAGUGAUAAUUAAUAUG